ACACUCUUAGCACCCUACAAGCAGGUAUGUGCUUACCAGCAAACUAAAGCAAAUGGAAAUUAAGAAGCAUGAUCACCACCAGCAAGGUGCUGCUGAACUAUAAGCCUUCAGAUGGUCAGAUAAAGUACCUGAUGCUGAAAAACAGGAAAUUGAAUCAUGUCUCCAAAAUGUGCCUUUUGUCAUGCACUGUUACAGCUAUAUUUCUUGUAACUACAUUCAGCCUCCAGCCAAGAUAAAGAAUUAUGUGAUACAUACUUCAUCUUCCAUCACUGCUUUCAAAAGAUGUGAAUUCUGCAAACCAGACAGAAGAGGGAGCUAUCCAUCUGGAAAUUAACCAAUCCUUUCAAAAACAUGUCAAAUAAAUAUAGAAGAAAAUUCUAAUAUAAUCAAGUCUUAUUUAGUCUUGUAUUUUAUAAAAAUACUAUAAUUUUUCUGGUGCAUUAAAAAUGACAAAGAAAACGACCAGUAAAGGCAAAAACAUUGAGUUAAUUAAUGAAAAGGCAAAAUAUACAAACGAUUAAAAGGCCAAUUAAAAAUACACUCACAUUUUACGGUUUGAUCUCACAUUUUAUAGCAAAAUGUAAAACCAGAACACACCUCCAAAAAGGGCAAAAUAAUACUCUGCUGCUAUACGUAUUACUAAUAUCACCUUCCUAUAGAUCCUGUUCUUAAAAUGGAAUGCUGACUUUAAAAUUGAUAACAUCUGGAAAUAAUGGCAAAAAGGAAAAACUGUUGGGCUGCAUCUGUCUUGAAAAUGCUAUGUAAUAAGAUUUACUUAAUAUAUUUGAAAAAGGAAAAAUGUUUUGUUCCCCAAUUUGUUGCAACAUCUGAAAGUUCACGAGGUUAUGACCCCUCUUUAAGAAAGCAUCUCCCACCACCUGCAAAUACCCCAGGAAAAGCAGUUGGAAACAAUAAAACACGUGCUAGUUAACUGUUACCAGGGAAACGGUUCUGGUUCACCAAUCAGAGCGCCUGUGCUUCCCAGUGGCUUUGUCCGGGGGAGACAUGCGCCAGCUGUUAGUGAAUAACCAUUGUUAUAGAUCAUCAGGAAAUCACAGUCAGCAGGCAACCCAGCCCCACUGGAAGUUUAUUUCUCAUAUUUGUUCAUCACCAGGGCAAUUCUCCACCUUUAAAACAUCCUCUUAGGCUGGGUUAACUAAAUAACACCCUACACGGGUAAGGUCAUUUAAAAAAGGCAAGUUGCAAAAUGGUCUUUUUGCCAGCAAACAGAUUUCUAACUUUGAUUCCAAAUGCAUCACCCUCCUGUCCCCUUCACUUUCCAGUGGCAAUUUUAAGACUGAUAUCUAAAGUCUGUGCUCCUUUGAGUGCUGUUCCUCCUUCACCUAACUGGCACUCCAGGUACCAAGAGCUUUCACACCAUACCCUCCAAGACCUGUCAGAGAUCAUUUGGCAGUUCCCAUGCUGGAAAGACCAGUGUGAUUUGCAAACGGGGAGUUCUGAAGAGGCUGGCCUGUCAUGAGGAAAGGGGCUGAGAGGACAAAACCCUGGUUCCCUCCCUCGCUAACACACACAAUUCAACCAGAAUAGCCCCACUUUAUCAAUUUUAUUAUUUUUAUAAAUUUAUAAAUUCAUAUAUUUUUUGAAAAAAGAUGGCGUUACUUUUUAAAGUUUAAAAACCAGCUCUCAACCUAUCCAAUCAUCAGACUCAUCUUAAAAAGUAAAGUCAUCAAGAGUUUUAGUUUCAGGUCCAGCAUGUUAGGCUGUUAAGAAGUCACCACUCUAACAACAAGUAAAAAAGCCAAACAAACUGAAAAAUCAGCAACUCUUCUUAGAUCUGUCAGAGAAGUGAGGUCACAGGACAAAUCACUGUCCCCCAAAUUGGAGAGACAGACAGACAAAUAGAAUCACAACUUACUAGAGCAGAAGUCUAUGAGCAGUCUCUUUCUCAGGAGUCAGUGCCAGGGUUAGAAAACCAGAACUGCAAUUGCUAGAAGAUCAGUGUGGACAAGUUUAAGAAUUAAAACUCAGGAGGACCCAGACAUGUGGUCUAACACACGUUACCAAUAGAGAAGCAAAAAUAAGAAUUACACCUGACUGGUCCUCAGAACAUGCAAGCAAGAAGAGAGUGGUGUAAAAUAUUUAAACUAUUGAGAUAGAAACUACCAGCCUAGAACUCUAUACACUGUGAAAUUAUCCUUCAAAAGUAAAGAAGAAAUAAAGACUUUCUCAGGCAAAAAUUGAAAGUAUUUGUUGGCCAGUAGUCCUGCCUUGCAAGAAAUUCUUCAAAGAAGUUCUUCAGAGCAAAAGAAAAUUAUAUAGGUUAGAAACUCAGAUCUACGUAACGAAAUGAGCAAUGGAGAAUCAAUCAGUGAAAGUGAAAUAAAACUUUUAUUUUUCUUAUUCUUAAAUGAUUUAACACAAAACUGUUCAAAAUAACAGCAAUGAUAUAUUCAAUUAUGUAUACUUAUAUGUUUUAGAUAUAUGUGCACACACAUAAACAUACAUAUGUAUGCUAAUGUAUGCUUAUAUGUAAGUGAAUGAAUAAUGGCAAUGAUACAAAAGGGAGAACAGAAGAGUUAGGAAUAUUUUGUUAUUAUAAUGUACUUGCACUGCUCAUAAAGCAGUAUAUUGUUAAUUGGACUUGAAUUCAUUAUAAAUGUCUAUUGCAAACUUU
rnacentral:lncRNA from 1 species